AUAAUUAGAAUUUUGAAUAUACUAUGAUAGUAUAUAAAUAAUACUAAAAAAGUAAUAACUCAUAUCCGAGAAGUGCAGAUAUGAAUAUAUGAAAAACAUUUCUGUACAUUAUAUCUAACAGUAAAAUUGUUGGUAACACUUUAGUAUAGGGUCCAAUUCACACUAAUAACUACUUGCUUAUUAGCAUGUCUAUUAUUAACAUAUUGGCUGUUUAUUAGUGCUUAUAAACUACAUAUAAUGCAUGACAUCCAUAAUCCUACCCACACUGUAAAUUGUAAUAGCUUUCCUGACUCACAUAUACUUAGUUAACUUUACUCAGUAAUAUAAAAUACAUACUUCUUACUAGGUUUUGUUGAGUUACAGUCAAUUGCAGGUUGAAAAUAACAAUUUACUUAAUUGUUUGAGUGACGCUUACUUGAAACAAGCAAGUAGCAACAAAGGAUGCUAUGACGUUAUUACACCAGUGAGAGGCAGCAGUGCAAUAAAGCGUGCCUAAGGUGCAGAAAAAAAAAGACGAAGAAAAAGAAGCGUCACUGCAAGAGCAUGCGUAAUUUGUAGGUCUCGGCGCCAAUUCUCCAGAUGUGGAAAGACGUUGACAGGCCACCUACGUUUUUAUCCGGAGCUUCGUUACUUUUUUUGAAAGAAAAAGAAUAAUAAUAAGAAGAAGUCCUUCUGGCAGCUGCCUCCUGAUUGGUCUUCAACACACAGGUCUUGAUACACUGGCAUGUGAUGUUGAUGGCUGGCCACAAGUGUCCGUUGGGGUGCUGACUGUUAUUGAUGAAGAAGAACCUCUCAUUCCAAAUAAACUGUACCUUGACCCAGUGUCUACUGCAGUCAUUGUGGAGGGAGGUAUAGUACUGGAUAAUCUGCAGAAUCUGCCUCAGGCAAUUUGCAUCUUGUUUGGUCUGUCUUAUGCUUUAAAUUUGAAGUACCCAAAAGGCAUUAUCAACAAUUUCAACUUCAUUCAGAAAGUGAUGCUUGGUUUGGGACAGAACAAACUGCCACCAAAACUACAAUCUCUGAAAAAUCUCCUGUUGAGCUGAGAUGUAAUCAAAUGUGCAAGAGUGAUGAUAUUUGACAUUUGAUAAAAAAAAAAAAAAA